rnacentral:rRNA from 1 species
CCUACGGGUGGCAGCAGUGAGGAAUAUUGGUCAAUGGACGAGAGUCUGAACCAGCCAAGUAGCGUGUAGGAUGACUGCCCUAUGGGUUGUAAACUUCUUUUAUAUGGGAAUAAAAUGUUCCACGUGUGGGAUUUUGUAUGUACCAUAUGAAUAAGGAUCGACUAACUCCGUGCCAGCAGCCGCGGUAAUACGGAGGAUCCGAGCGUUAUCCGGAUUUAUUGGGUUUAAAGGGAGCGUAGGUGGAUUGUUAAGUCAGUUGUGAAAGUUUGCGGCUCAACCGUAAAAUUGCAGUUGAAACUGGCAGUCUUGAGUACAGUAGAGGUGGGCGGAAUUCGUGGUGUAGCGGUGAAAUGCUUAGAUAUCACGAAGAACUCCGAUUGCGAAGGCAGUUCACUGGACUGCAACUGACACUGAGGCUCGAAAGUGUGGGUAUCAAACAGGAUUAGAUACCCUAGUAGUC